AAAUAUUUUGGUUCCUCACAAGGUGCACACAUUAACGACAAAUGAACCGUAAAAAUCUAUCAUUCAAUGAGUAAAUACUGUAAAUUGUUUCACGUUGAGAUGACAAACAACACAGAUAUCCGUCGUUUGAUGCGUUGAUAAUCAUGUUCGUUUGCUUUAAUACCUAUGUUUUGUUUAGAAACAUUGUGUCUAUGCAAUGUCAGAGAUGUGGGCUUGCGUGCAAGCUUCUUCAACUGUACUUCAACCUGUUUCCCAUUCAUAUUCCUUAUGUCACCUUCAGGAUUUACUCUCCUAUCCACUUGAUAAUCUUGAUUACCCUCAGCAGUCCAUUGUCAGCUUUGAGGUGGCACCUUCUUGAUUGCCUUUUGGACGUCCAAGUAUACAGCAUCUAUAGGUUAUAGCAGUAUGAACAUCCAUCUUGACUUCAUCCAUCUUGCAUUUUACUUCCAUAAAAAACACCACUAAAUUAGUUAAACAUGAUUUCUCUUUCAUAAAACCAUGU